rnacentral:lncRNA from 1 species
UAAAAUUCAAUGGUACAUAGGGAAACUUUCCAAAUAGUAGUUGUUUUAGCUCUUAAUUUUUAUGUCUAUAUUCAAAUGGAAUCUAGACAUAUACCAAACAUAUACAUUAAGUGUUGCAUGAACCCACUAAUUUGCUAAAACGAAUUUUAUUUUGAGACAGAGGGAGUAUUACUAAAUGUACAUAUAGUUCCAUGUUUGCAUUUGGUUUAGUGGCAUCUUUUUUUCUGCCAGGUUAUUUGACAUAAUAAUCUUUUUAUAUGCUGGGUUCGAUGUGUACAUGAACCACAAAUUAGUAGUUUAGUACAGUGAACCCCCUCUUAUCAUUCCAUUGCAUAUAUAACAUGUGUAUGUAUCGGUGAAUGGUAGUCACCCUUUGUCUGUGCUUGAGUACAGGUGCAGAAACUGGAUGAGAUGGGCUAAACCUUUCCCUGAAUCUAGCUAACCUGCUGCGGUUGCCUUGUAACCUUGCUUUGCUGAUUUUUAUUUUUACUUUGACAUUUCUUUUGCAAUUUCUGCUCAUUCAAGGAUGUUGUGUCUCUUUUGCAGGUUGUCAAGUAUUCUUGGUGGCUAUGUAUUGCAACAAUAAUUUAAAUUGAUCAUUCUGGUGAGUUUUGGUGUGCUCUUGGCCUUUUGUCAGGGUGGUACUGUGUGUCUGUGCAUUUAGGUGAGAUUUGCUAAGUUGCAAGUAUGUCAACUUGAGUAGGAAAAUUUCAAUUAAAAGUAUCUGAGAACUGGUAGGAAAUUCGUGGCUGAAAGACAUGUACGACUACCUAGCCUCUUCAACAUAAUCUUAGUUACAGUUCGGUAACCUGUGAACCUACUGGUAAAGAUAAACAUGUGCUUGUUUAAGAACCAUUGUAUUUUCUUCUAUUGAUUUUCAUGAUCAAUUGCUGGGUUAUAGAUUAAAUUCCAUGAUCAAUUCCAUGCUAAGUUGCAAUUUCUAUUGAUUUUCAUGAUCAAUUGUCUUCUAUUGAUCAGCAGUGCUGGGCGGGGUUGACAGAGAGUUAGAUGACGCUGACGUUGUCGUGGUAGACAAGUGUGCUACUGGUGAGGGGACUGUGAAGCUCCUGGAGGAGCUGAGUUGGUGCAUCCAGCUUGCCUUAGCCACCCCAUUGUCGACAACUAGGUACUCACCCUCAGCACACUGGAGCGUGAGACCACAUGCUGACACUCACUUGGAGGACUAAGAGAUGAGGUUGGCCACAAGAAACACUGCAUAGCCAGAGGUAGACCGAUGGGUGUCCGAGUGCUCAUGUCUAGAGGAGUGCUCGCAUACGGUCGUUUUGGUAGAGCGGGAGUAUUUCAACUAUGGUAAAUUUUAAUAUUUCAAUAUGGAGACUCCAAGAGCCGUUCCGUUCCUCUUUUGUUUGAAGCCAAACAUCCAAAAAAUAAGAAUGAAAUAGUUACAUUCUCUUCCAUUCAACCAAACACACCCUUAAUCUGACUUACCACUCGAAUGAGGUAGCAAUUCAUUAUUACCAUCUAAGCCAAUGGCUAUGGUAACAUGCGAACAAAUAGUGACGAGUACCAACAAUAAUAAGCAACUUCAUAUUUGG